rnacentral:rRNA from 1 species
UAGGGAAUCUUCGGCAAUGGGGGCAACCCUGACCGAGCAACGCCGCGUGAGUGAAGAAGAUUUUCGGAUCGUAAAGCUCUGUUGUAAGAGAAGAACGUGUGUGAGAGUGGAAAGUUCACACAGUGACGGUAACUUACCAGAAAGGGACGGCUAACUACGUUCCAG